AACGUCUCAGUUCGGACUGUGGUCUGCAACCCGACCACACGAAGCUGGAAUCGCUAGUAAUCGCGAAUCAGAAUGUCGCGGUGAAUACGUUCCCGGGUCUUGUACACACCGCCCGUCACACCAUGGGAGCCGGAAAUGCCCGAAGCCAGUGACCCAACCUUAGGGAGGGAGCUGUCGAAGGUGGAGCCGGUAACUGGGGUGAAGUCGUAACAAGGUAAC
rnacentral:rRNA from 1 species